rnacentral:rRNA from 1 species
AACGAACGUUGGCGGCGUGGAUUAGGCAUGCAAGUCGAACGAAUCCCUGGGGGCAACUCUGGGGGGAAGUGGCGAAAGGGGACGAGUAAGGCAUGGGUAACCGUACCCCCGGGGACCGUGGGAGUAGCUAUUCUAACGAGUAGGUAAUACCGGCGAUGUACGAGGGGGCGAUCUCUUUGUUACGAGAUGAAUUUCGUCCUCGGGAGGGGGCGUCAUGUAGUAUUAGCUAGUUGGUAGGGUAACGGCCUACCAAGGCUGAGANGCUUAGCGGGUGUGAGAGCACGACCCGCCGCCACUGGCACUGAGACACUGGCCAGACUCCUACGGGAGGCUGCAGUCGAGGAUCUUCGGCAAUGGGCGCAAGCCUGACCGAGCGACGCCGCGUGGGCGAUGAAGGCCUCGGUUGUAA